rnacentral:rRNA from 1 species
GGCGUUAACGUGAGCGUCCUAAGGUAGCGCGAUAAUUUGCUUUUCAAUUGAAGGAUGGUAUGAAAGGGUUAACGAAGAAGGUGCUGUGUCUAAAAAUUCAAUUUAAACUAACUUUAAGGUGAAGAGGCCUUUAUGUAAAAGAAGGACGACAAGACCCUAUGAAGCUUUAUCUUAAUUGGAGCUCUCAGGCUCUUAUACGAUUUUGAUGGGAGAUCAGUAGAAAGAAGUCUUCUACUAUCAUAUUAAUCUUACUAGUAUUUCCUAACUUUAUAUGUGUGGCUAGCUACUCUAGGGAUAACAGCGCAAUUUCUCCCGAAAGAUGGUAUUGGAGGGGAAGAUUGCGACCUCGAUGUUGGCUUUAGAUAUCCUAGAGGCGUAGAAGCUUCU